GUUGAUCCUGCGGGAGGUUGCUGCUAUUGGGGUUCGACUAAGCCAUGCAAGUCAAGGGGCUCUUCGGAGCACCGGCGAAAUGCUCAGUAACACGUCGAUAAUUUACCCUUAGGUCUGGAAUAACCUUGGGAAACUGAGGCUAAACCCGGAUAGGGGAAUUCUACUGGAAUGUGUUUUCCUUUAAAAGUAAUGCCUAAGGAUAAGUCGGCGGCUGAUUAGGUUGUUGGUGGGGUAACGGCCCACCAAGCCGACGAUCAGUAGGGGUCGUGAGAGCGAUAGCCUCGAGAAGGGAACUGAGAUACUGUCCCUAGCCCUACGGGGUGCAGCAGGCGCGAAACCUUUACACUGUACGAAAGUACGAUAAGGGAACCCUAAGUGCUUAUGCUUUGCAUAGGCUUUUGCCAAGAGCAAAAAUCUUGGCGAAUAAGCAGUGGGCAAGACUGGUGCCAGCCGCCGCGGUAACACCAGCGCUGCAAGUGGGAACCAGCAUUAUUUGGCCUAAAGCGUCCGUAGCCGGUUUAGUAAAUCUCUUGUGAAAUUGUCGGGCUUAACCUGACAGCGUGCAGGAGACACUGCUGAACUUGGAACCGGGAAGAGUCAGGAGUAUCUCUGGGGGAGCGGUAAAAUGCUAUAAUCCCGGGAAGACUACCAGUGGCGAAGGCGCCUGACCAGAACGGCUUCGACGGUGAGGGACGAAAGCUAGGGGAGCGAACCGGAUUAGAUACCCGAGUAGUCCUAGCUGUAAACGCUGCGAGCUAGGUGUUGCAUAUUCUACGUGAUUAUGCAGUGUCGAAGUGAAGAUGUUAAGCUCGCCGCCUGGGAAGUAUGGUCGCAAGACUGAAACUUAAAGGAAUUGGCGGGGGAGCACCACCAGGGGUGCGGCGUGCGGUUUAAUCUAAUUCUACACAGAGAAUCUCACCAGGGGCGACGGCAGGAUGAAAGUCGAGCUAAAGACUCUACUUGACGAGCCGAGAGGUAGUGCAUGGCCGCCGUCAGCUCGUGCUGUAAGGUGUCCUGUUAAGUCAGGCAACGAGCGAGACCUGUGCUUACAAUUGCUAACAGGCUUUGCGACUGAGCACAUUGUAAGAACUGCCCUCGAAAGGGGGAGGAAGGUGCAGGCUACGGUAGGUCUGUAUGCUCCGAAUCCUCUGGGCUACACGCGCGCAACAAUGGUAGAGACAAUGGGAUACGACUCCGAAAGGAGAAGUUAAUCCUCGAAACUCUAUCUCAGUUCAGAUUGAGGUCCGUAACUCGGCCUCAUGACGAUGGAAUCCCUAGUAAUCGGACGUCAUCAGCGUCCGGUGAAUAUGUCCCUGCUCCUUGCACACACCGCCCGUCAAACCACCCGAGUAGGGUCUAGGUGAGGCUUAAUUUUCAAUUAAGUCGAAUCUAAGCUUUGCGAGGAGGGUUAAGUCGUCACAAGGUA
rnacentral:rRNA from 1 species